UAGGCAGCGAGCGUUGUUCGGAGUUACUGGGCGUAAAGGGUGUGUAGGCGGUUGUUUACGUUUGGUGUGAAAUCUCCCGGCUCAACUGGGAGGGUGCGCCGAAUACUGAAUGACUUGGAGUGCGGGAGAGGAAAGUGGAAUUCCUGGUGUAGCGGUGAAAUGCGUAGAUAUCAGGAGGAACACCGGUGGUGUAGACGGCUUUCUGGACCGUAACUGACGCUGAGACACGAAAGCGUGGGUAGCAAACAGG
rnacentral:rRNA from 1 species